rnacentral:lncRNA from 1 species
GGGUUGGUCUGUGUAGUAGGUUAUUAAGAGAGUCUAGGAGAGAGAGAGUGGCAGGGUUAGGAGAGUAUGCUCCUUAAAAAAAAAAAACUGAAAAGGUAAACUUCACAAGGUUUAGGAUUAAAGAGAAAGAGGCAUCAGCUAUGACCUAGCUGUUUGGAGCUUGGUGUGUUAUUAGUAGAAAGGGAAAGUGUUGGAGAAAAACAGAGGUAAGAUUAGAGGAAGAUAAGCUAAUUGAGGCUAUGGGCCAUUUGAGAAGCCAAUGGAAUACUCCCAUGAAUAGAUUCAAGAGAGGUGGAAAUCCAUUCCUGGGUUUGGGAGGGAGAUGGGAGUGGGGAGAUUCUGGAAUCACACCCUUGUGGAUUUUCUCUCCUCUGUCUCCUCGUACUUUGUACUUUCCUGUUUUACCUCCUCUUUGUUUCCCCUUCUGAAUCUGUUGUUUCCACGUGUUACUUCACGUGCACUCUCUCUCUAUAUGUGUAUAUUCUUCUUUUGAACGAGAGUGGUACAAGUAGUCAUAGCAGCUGUCAUUUAGUAAGUGACUAUUUCUCAGGCAAGGAACAACUGCCUCCUGCUGAUCUUCUCUCCCCGCCCCCACCCACAUGUCCCCAGCAGCUGAUCUCCAGACCCCCAGCCUCCCCUCCAUUCCUUAGAAAAUGCCCUGUUUCUGUUGCCUCUCUCAUUUAAUCCUUACAAUUCCUGCAAGGGCAAAAUUCUUAUUCCCAUCUUCAGAUAAGAAGGUAGAGGCCCACCGAUACCACAUUGGUUUCUCUGACCCCCAGCAGUAAGUGACACGUGCCACUUUCAGAGCCUGAUCACACACCGGAAUGACACGCUCCACUACAGCAAGCAUGAGCAAACUACUGCCUUGAGGCCAAGUACAGACCCCACUGGUUUUUCUAUUGCCUGUGAGCUAAGAAUGGCAUUUACGUUUUUAGAGGGUUGAGAAAAGAAUCAAAGAAGAAUAUUUUACAAUGUGGGAGAGUUACAUGACAUUUACUUUCAUAACAUUAAGUCCAUUGAUAAUCCUUUCCUGUGACUCUGUCAUGCUCGUUUGCUUACGUUAUUAUUGAUGACUGCUGUUCCCCUAGCACGACAGGCAUGCAACAAGAUGUGACAGACAUAUAGCCCACAAAGCCAAAAAAUAUUUACCAUUUGGUCCUUUAAAGAAAAAGUUGGCUUCCCUGUAUUACAAUAUACUGCUCAGGAUACUUCAUCUCAUCUGUGGAUUCAACUGUCACCUCUGUGCACAAAUUCUCAUGCUGGGAGGAAAAAGAAGGAAGGGGUAAUAAAUGGCAGCCCUCACUGCUCCACGUUAUGCAGUCCUGCUACUCAACUAUCUAGUCCUGCUGAUGGUCCUGCCAAUAAACCCUACACAGAUAGGAAACACAGUACAUCCAUCAAAAAAGUGACAGGAAACAUGAUAGUAAAUGAAAUCAGCCACAUUAAUUGUGAAACACUAUUCAUCAGCGUGUGUAUUUUUCCUGAGGUAGUUAAAAAAAAUCAAGUAUUUUUAAGAUGCGGAAUAAAAACCUACAAAAUCUAUGAUUACUGGGAAGAUAAAAUAAAUUUUCUUCCCAUGAAGUUGGAGGAGAUAACAGAUUCUCUGAGGGCCCCACACCUGGCUCAGUCCUUGUCAUAUUGUAGGCCCAUAAUAGAAACUCAGUAGAUCUUUAUUGAAGAAUGAAUGAAUGGAUGCAGAAUGGAUGGGCUAAUACAAAAAUCAGCAGAAGAGAGAAUAUUUAGAAGGUGAAGCUCCAUGCCUGGGAUUGUCCUCUCCUAAGGGCUGAGGGAGGCUGUGGGGCUGCAGUUAAGCUGAUGGGACACUGUGGGUGGGGAGGAGGCAGGGGCAGGAGGCAAUAAUGAGCUCAAUAUGCCAGAAAGAAUAUUAAUAUUUCAGAGUUUCUGAAGCUUGCCUCCCAGAUGCUAAGCCUGCCUCUGAAUUCAGCUUCUAAUUUUCCAUUUUUUUUCUCCUCUUCCUUCACUGAAAACAAUUUGUUCACAAUUCUCUGCCAAUGAGAUGACGACGGAAUAGGGUGCAGGAAUGCUUGAAAAAUUGCCUCCUCUCAAGUUUUAGGUUUAUUUUCAAGGUGUGUGAGGGCCUGGUCCAUCAUAUUUGCUUCAGAGAUGCACCAUAAAUAUUUUGUUGCAGUGUCAUUAUUGCUCUUAGCUGUCCAUUUCGAGAACGGCAGUCUUCUAAGACAUUUAGUUACUGCUCAUUUGUUUUCCUAAAAAUUUUUAAUUUUUUGGCAGAAUUAACUUAAAAAAAAAAAAGGCAGUCAACUCAUUGUGAGGCAUUGCCUUGCACUUAAAGAUAGGCUGCUCAGGCAGCCUCUGUGAGAACACACUGGAACCCUUAUCAGUCAUCUGGACAUCUUGACACAGUUUUCUCAAAUAUAUCUUCUUCCCUCUUUCUAUUAUCUUUCUUUUCCUACACUCCUUCUCUUUCAGUUAAUUUUCCCUCUGCAAUGCUUUAUUUCCUUAAUGAAGGAACAAUGUUAUGCAUAUUUCAUCCCUCAUAUAGUAGUUGCUCAAUAAAUGCUUGAAAGAGUAAUGAAUGCUUUUGUGCUUGCUUUUCACUCUUUUAUCAUUCUCUGUCCUCAUACUUCUCCUUUUCUUUUCAGAGGAAAUAAUACAUAUCAAGUCUUAACUAGAGACUGGCAGGUGUGUUAUUACAAUUAACAGUAACACCUUUAGAUUCUGGAUGUUAAUUUUACUCUACAUGCCUAGAAAUGUGAUACCACUUCCUAUAAGACUGGAUCGUUACCUGAUUUCUAGAUUCCUGCCACGGCCCCCUCUGCACCGGGCUGGCCGAAUCACAUCUGAGUGCUUCAUGGCUUCUUUAUGUUAUACAUCUAACUAUUUGGCUACUCAUCAGGGGUUGGCAAGAUUAGCCUCUUCUCUCUCCCAUCACUGUCCCAUCCAAUCUAGAUUUAUAUCUCUUCUCCAGUAACAAAAGAUAUUGGAAUCCCUGCUUGUUUUGUGGCAGAGCAAACUCCCAUUUUUAUAAUUUUCUUGGUAACAAAGAAAUGAUGAAUGAUACGUAGAGGAAACUGGCUGACCAACCAAGGGCUUAUAUCUUAUGCCAGCCUUGAAGUAAUAAAAAUGUCUUCUCCAGUUCCGAUUGUUAAGAUGCUGACGACCCAGAAUGAAAUUAUUUCUGUUUUGACACCUGCUUUAUUAAUAUUCCAACCAAUAUCAUUACUGUAUUUCUUAGCAUCUCAUUUCUUCCAGAGAUAGUGUUAUUAAAUAUCACACAUCCUCAGAUGUUUUUAGAUUCCCACAGGUAUUACUCCUUAAAUAGGGUUCUUCCCCUCCUGGUAUUGUCACUGUCAUCCAGAAAUAUUCAACAAAUCUGAUUUUAUUUCUUCCAUUUGCUUUCUUUGAUAACACGAACAUUAUUUUUUUUCAGUCUACCCAGUUACAUUCUGAAGGCUGUAAUGAACUCUACAGGUUUGCAAAGUUUUCAUAUUUUAAUUUCUGAUCCUCUCUUCCUCUCUCCUGGUCCUCACCAUGAAAGCCUGGGAGCGAUAUGCAACGAGCAUCCCUUAAAAAAAGUGGACUAUGCUUGUAGUGAUGAACAGCUCCUGACAAUGGCUCUUGGCCAUUCAAAAGAUUCCAGGGGGGGAGCUGGUGGCUACUCUGUUGCGAAAGUCCAGGGGACCCAAAGGCUACCGUGGGGGUUUCAUGCUGGCAUGUGGGUAGGAGAAAAGGUUACCAACAGCUGCUCACUAGACUCAGAAGCAGGUAUUUUCAUUUUCAAAACCGCAGACACAGCACCAGAUCCCUGUUGGCAGCAUAUCGCGUUACAGUGGGAGAAACUGGAGCUCUGUGCAGGUUUUGGCAUCGUGGAGAGGAAAGUGUGCUCUACUACAGGAACACUUGGGAGGGCGGCCCUGCCCUCCCAGGCCCUGAGCACAGGUGUGCACUGCUGGCAAGACCCGCAUCUGGGAGGGAAAUGCCACACAGAGGCUGGGCGCUGCCUUCGGCCCCAGGCUGGAGGCAGAAAUGGUGCCAAACGCUGGGAGAAGAGUCCUCCUCUGCCCAGAAAAGAUGUCUUAAAGGAUGACACCUUCUAUUUGUGUGUAUGAAGGAGAAAGGACAAAAUCUAAGUGACAGACACUGCUGAAUUAAAAGAGGACCAAGAACAGGGGCAUUUUAUUCACUUGAAAGUAUUAGUGUUACUGUCCUCGGUUUAUACUGUCCUGUGUGCAGCUGCCCCCGGGAGAGGAGAUGGCCUGGCCUCCCGCACGUCGAGAAGAAUCACGGCUGUGCGCUUUGGUGAAGAAGAGAGGGCAUGGCGCGCAGUCAGGACAGUUGUAAGUGCAAGUGCACGUGCACGUAGGAGGCCGAGAUGCUGCGCAGAAGGACUCAGUGUAGACGACGGAGUGCAGGUGAGAGGAAAGCAGCAUGGCCCCUUUAUUUGGCUUUCUUUUGGGCGGUGCUGUGAGAAGGCUCCUCUCUCUUUGCAGAUUGGAAUCUCUAAACAUUCCAGGACCUCGGUUCCUGGUAUUUCUGCCCCCCGGGUCCUUGCUUAAAGGAUUUUGCUGCUUAUCUUUCUCACUCAGGAUGGUACACAGCCCCUCUUCUGCUCUCAUGGGCACCAGGGCUGAGCUUCUGUGACUCCUGCCCUCCGGCCACUGCAGAAGUUAUAAGCCCUCAGGAAAGAAUGAAAAGAUGAAAGGAUGCGCCUCUGAAGUCGUGAGCAUCUGGGGCUUAGGGGAACCCAGCUUGAUUUACACUGGAGCUUAGCUGGGAUCCCUUCCUGCUGACAUUCGGGAAGUUGCUGGAGGCUUCCAACCCCCUUCAUUCACAACGCAGCUAUCUCAGAAAGUUAAUUAACCUAGGCUCUUUCCUUUAGAACUUGAGAUACACUGAAAAUUGGCCUUUUAAGAGUGACCCACAUUCUUGGAGAUGGGGAAGACACACCCUCAUCCAUUUUUGUUUUGGAAGGCUCAUUUUCCUUUUUUUUUUUUCAACUCACUUGAUAAUUAGUAAUUUACCUCGCCAUGUUUAGAUUUGUUAAUACAUAUUUUUAAAUUGCCUGGUUUUUGUGCUAAUUCCUAUGUUAGGCACUUUGAAAAACAUAGAGAAGUUGAAAACGCAGUUUUGACCUCAAGGAAUUUGCAGUCUUAGCUGGAUUAUAAAACCUGAAAUGAGGAUUGAUGCAACAAUUUCGAUUCUGUGAAGUUUCAAAUGACUGGGAUGCUUGUAGGAAGCGUUAGACCACAACUUUUGUUAAUGCCGAUGCCUCCAGAAUAGAGCCGGUGAGGACAGAGAUUUCGGAUGCUGGUACAAACACGCAGGGUUGCCGAAAGGAUUCAGUCAGAUAAUAUGUGGAGCGAAGCCCUUCUAUCAGAGAUCCUGACACACAGUUGGUAUUCAGAAGAUGAACGUCUUUUUCCUCCACUUUUUCUUAUGUGUACCAGCAGACAUGGAUCCAUGGCACUUCUGAGGACCCCUGCCAAGCCUUCCAUAAUUACUUCGAGCUCACUGAGGAGAAGCUGAGGUGAAACCACACUGACUUCUGUAAGAGGCAAGGGUCUGGGUGAGCUGCUGGAACUAUGAUUGCUGAAGGACUUAUCUUGAGAGGCAAAAGGUGAUCCUAUCAGCCACUCUCAGCACUUGAGAUUAAAAUGUAGAGCGGGGGAAGGUUCCAUGGGGUGUUUCUGACACAGUACUGAGUAACUAGAUAGAAAGAUGUCUCGGGGAUCCUGUCAAAACAAUUACUGCAAAUAUUCUGGGUACUAGGCACUGGGCAAAAAAGUAACAGAACACACUCUUCAUGAAGCAACACUGGGGAAUAUACUGUAACUGAGGCACAAACUCUUGAGGACAGAAGUAUCUUAGAAUUAAAUAAUCCAGAUAACAAAAUGAAAUUAUAACAGGGUGUUUCAGUUACCUAUGGCUGCAUAACAAACUCGCCCAAACUUAGGGAUGUAAAACACUAUUGUGAUACUAUGGUCAUUGAUUCUACGGGCCAAGAAUUCAGAGAAGGCAUAGCAGGGAUGGUUUGUUUUCCUCAUGAUGUCUGGGGCCUUGGCUGGGAUGGCCAGAGUGACUCAGCCAGUUGGUGCCAGAAUCAUCCAGAAGCUUCUACAUGAGUAAGUUUGUCACCUGGGCUGGGCUUAGAUGAAACCAUAGCACCUACAUGGGGCUUCUCCAUGUAACUUGAGAUUCUCAAAAUGUGAGUUUUAAGACGAAACAGAGUCAACAUUCCAAAAGAACCAGACAGAGCCACAUGGAUUUUAUGACCUGCCCAAACAGAUAGUAGGGUGUGGCCCAUUAAGAAAAAGACAAAGUGUUCAGUGUGGCUCCAUUAAUGGCUGGUGAAAUGUUGAAACAAGAGUCCAGGAAAUAUGGCAGGGCCAGAUCAAAAGUGACUUCACAUGCCUUAAGGGAAGUUUGCGCAUUGUUUUGUAGAAAAUUAGAGAAUUAUCAAUGGAAAAAUUUGACUUUGAGAGUAUUUUAGAAAUACUAUGAAUGAAGCAUGAAAGAAGGCUGUUUGAAAGAGGUAGAACUGAUGAAAGAAAAUCCAUUUCAGAUACCAUUGUAACAGUUAAAGAAGGAAAGGACAAAGACCUUAACUAAGGCACUGGCAGUGAGAACUGACAGACAGGGAUAGCUCCAAGAGUUACUAGGAGGUAGAAUUAACAGGACAUGGUGAUCUCUACAAAGUGAUGCCAAGGAGUGGAAGGAGCAAGGAUGGUCCUUUCUAUUUUAGGUGCUGGGCAGAUAGUAAUGCUAUUUAAAGGCAAUGAGAAUAUCAGAAAUGGAGCAGUAUUGUGAAAAAGAUGAGUUCAGUUUUAGAGGCUUUGAGUUUGGGUCACCCAGUAGAAGAUAUUCAAGAGACAGUGUGAUUUUAUGAAUCAGGAGCUCAAGAAAAACUUGGCCUAGAAAAAUAUAAUUGAUAGUGAUCAGCUUAUUAUUGGUGGUUGAUCCCAUGAAAUUCAAUCAAAUUGUCUAAGGAGGAGAAGAGGGAUCCUCUUCUUGGAUCUUCCAAGGUCUCCAACAUGUUUUCUGUGGACAAAGAGAUGGUUCCAGAAAACACUGAGAAGUGCUUAGAACAUUGAGAUAAGCAUGGGAAGUAACUGAUGUAAGAGAAUUCAAAAGAAAAGACAAAUUCAAGAAAGAAAACACAGCUAGCAGCAUCAAUGCCACUGAGAGGUCAAGUACAUAAAGACUAAUAAGCAUCCUUUCCAGGUGUCAGGGCCAUAUCCACCACUGAAGGAGUCCCUAGAGAAAGAAAUGGACAAAGUCAUGGCAGGGGCUCUGGCCUGAGAGACCUGUGAUGAGCGCAAAUUACCAGAACAGAGACUCAAGAACGGGGAUCAAGAAAGACGUCCAGCAACACAACUCGGUGGCAAAGAUGAACAGGGUCUUAGAGGCCAAGUGUGAGCAUGUUUUUCAAAAAUGUGUUCAAAGUGGAGGGUGAGUGAAGAUCAAAGGUGAAUUGAUACCAAGCCUCAGAAUGGCUGUAACAUCUUUGCUGGGAACUGGAACCUGCCAAGUCCUAUAGGAGAGAGGCAAAUGACUAGCUUUAGGGGAGCCAUCUUUUCUUCCUAAAUUACUUCUUUGCAUCUGGAUUAGUCAGUGCAUUUGGAUUAAAAGUACCAGAAACCCAAGUCAAACUAAGUAAAAAGGGGAGAAAUAUUAGAAGAAUAUUGGCAUCUCUCUCAAAAACAAAACAACAAAAAUCACAGGAAACCCUGGUGCAAAGUAGAGAGAGCAUCAGGGGAAAUGAAACUGGGGAGUCACCUCUGCCGAGAUCCUUUCUCAAUCACCAAUCCAAGUUGACUUCAUUCUCUGAUCAUAGAGAGCCUCGCUCAUCAACCACACAAGUCUGCUAUCUCGUGGUUCUCACUACCAGAGAGGGUGAGAGCUCAAAACACCCCAGGGACAGACUGAUUUGGUCUGGUGCCCACCUGUGGAUGAAUCAAGGGUGACGACGAAUCACAUUUCUGGAGUGGGCAAAGUGAGGAGGGCGGCUUUCCAGGUGCUGGGGGAGAAGCUGGGUUGACAAACCAGCAUGCCCAGUCUACACCUUCAACUUCAAAGAUGAAUUAUUACUCUCAGAAGGUUUGGGCUUCCCUCUGCUCUAGAGGCUUAUUAAUAGGGUGACCAGGUGUCCUAGUUUGUCUGGCUGGUCCUUUCUUACACCUGUUGUCUUGAUGAAGUUAUUAAUAGCACCCUUUUCACUUUUGGAAGCUAGAUUAGGUGGUCAUCUUACAUACUGGUGUUGUGACUCUGAACUGGCCAAAGUCCUGGAGGAAACAGUCUUUAAAUAAAGGGUGGUUAAAAU